rnacentral:rRNA from 2 species
UCAUCGGCCUCAGAUUGGUAGGACUACCCGCUGAACUUAAGCAUAUCAAUAAGCGGAGGAAAAGAAACUAACAAGGAUUCCCCUAGUAACGGCGAGUGAAGAGGGAAGAGCCCAAGAUUGAAAGCUGGCGUCUUCGGCGUCCGCAUUGUAAUCUCAAGAAGUGUUUUCCGCUUCGGACCAAGCCUAAGUCCCUUGGAAAAGGGCAUCAUAGAGGGUGAUAAUCCCGUACAUGGCUUGGAGCGCCCGAAGCUUUGUGAUACGCUUUCUAAGAGUCGAGUUGUUUGGGAAUGCAGCUCAAAAUGGGUGGUAAAUGCCAUCUAAGGCUAAAUAUUGGGGAGAGACCGAUAGCGAACAAGUACAGUGAUGGAAAGAUGAAAAGAACUUUGAAAAGAGAGUUAAACAGUACGUGAAAUUGCCAAAAGGGAAGGGUAGGAGGUCAGAGAUGCGGCCUGGGAUUCAGCCUUGCUUUUGCUUGGUGUUUUUCCCAGAUUGCAGGCCAACGUCGGUUUUGGGCACUGGAGAAGGGUAGGAGGAACGUGGCACCUCUCGGGGUGUGUUAUAGCCUCCUACUGGAUACAGCGACCGAGACCGAGGACAGCAGCGUACUCGCAAGAGCGGGCCUUCGGGCACCUUUACGCUUAGGGCGUUGGCAUAAUGGCCCUCUACCACCCGUCUUGAAACACGGACCA